rnacentral:rRNA from 1 species
UCGAGAAUUUUUCACAAUGGGCGAAAGCCUGAUGGAGCGACGCCGCGUGGGGGAUGAAGGGCUUCGGCUCGUAAACCCCUGUCAUUUGCGAACAAGGGCGCCGACCUAACACGUCGGCGCUUGAUAGUAGCAGAAGAGGAAGGGACGGCUAACUCUGUGCCAGCAGCCGCGGUAAUACAGAGGUCCCAAGCGUUGUUCGGAUUCACUGGGCGUAAAGGGUGCGUAGGUGGUGGAUUAAGUCGGGUGUGAAAUCUCCGGGCUCAACCCGGAGGGUGCGCCCGAAACUGAUCCGCUCGAGGGUGGGAGGGGAGACUGGAAUUCUCGGUGUAGCAGUGAAAUGCGUAGAUAUCGAGAGGAACACCCGUGGCGAAGGCGAGUCUCUGGACCACUCCUGACACUG